AUGGAGGCUGAAUUUUACAUGGCGCUUCUUACCUGCUUGAUCUUCUGGAACCCAGAGGGGUUUCAGAUCGUCCAUGUCCAGAAACAACAGUGCCUUUUCGAAAAUAAGAUCGUGUCCAUGGGCUCGUGCAAUGGGACCGAGCAGAACCAGCAGUGGAUGUGGACUGAGGAUGCAAAACUCCUUCACCUGAAGUCUGCACUGUGCCUGGGCGUCUCCAACUCCUCUGGUGGCCCUUCCCGAUCAGCCAUCUUUGUCCACUGCUCCCAGGCCCCCCGAUGGACUUGCUAUGAGAAAGCAGGGUUCCUUGAGGUGAAAAAUGCCUCUCUCUUUCUCAAGAAACAAGGCACCAAGGCAGUGGUCAAAAAGGGCAGGAAAUACCUCCAUAGCUGGAUGAAAAGAGAUGUCAACAAGGAGGGAAAACCAGUCAAUGAAAGCCUCUGCUUAAAAAAAGCUGGCCUGGGAGCAGAAUUUUCAGUAAGGAGCAUUAGAAACACGUCUCCUCCCCAAAUCCCCACUGCAUUCAAUGCUGCUCCGUACAGCCCGGAACAGCUCAUUAGCAAUACCACAGAGGCCUUCACCAGAACUACUCCCGAAAACUCCAGCCGAAACAGCAGCCAGGGGCAGCCCCCCAGUCUGCAGAUGACUGGAAGUACAGACACAUCGUCGGUUCCCUGGACUCCUCGGCCCUUCUCCAGCACCACUGAGGAGACCGGACUGGGGGAGCCGGCGAGGUGUAACUUCACGGUGACCGAGUCCAGGGUCUCCAGCCGGGCCGCGUCUCUCCAGUGGAGGACUCUGGGGCCGCCCUGUAACUUCAGCCUCAACUAUAGCAAUGACUCAUCGGAGUUCACGAGGUGCCACCCCGUGAGGAUAGACAACACCACCUAUGAAUGUAACCCCAAGGAUUUACAAGCGGGAACCGUCUAUAACUUCAGGAUUGUGGCUCUGGAUGGAGAAGAGAGAACCGUGGUCUUGCAAACAGACCCUUUGCCUCCUGCUAGGUUUGAGAUCAGUAAAGAGAAGACUACUUCAACCAGCCUGCACGUUGGGUGGACUCCUUCUUCCGGAAGAGUCACCUGGUAUGAGGUGCAGUUACUUGAUGGUCACCAAAAGAUGCAGGAGGCCCAAAUUCAGGAGAGUACUUCAUGGAAUGAAUAUGCAUUUUCUAACCUUACUGCUGGUAGUAAAUACAAUAUUGCCAUCACAGCUGUUUCUGGAAAUAAACGGUCCUCUACAAUUCAUAUCAAUGGAUCAACAGUGCCAUCCCCGGUGAAAGAUAUUGGUAUUUCAGCAAAAACGAAUUCUCUCCUGAUUUCCUGGUCCCAUGGCUCUGGGAAUGUGGAAAGAUACCAGCUGAUACUAAUGGAUAAAGGGAUCCUAGUUCAUAACGUUGUUGUGGACAAAUAUGCUACUUCCUACACUUUUCAUGGACUGACAUCUGGCCACCUCUACAACCUCACCAUUGUAACUGAGGCUUCAGGGCUGCAAAACCGAAAGUGGAAACUGGCCAGGACAACCCCCACAGAAGUCUCAAAUCUGAAGGUGACAAAUGAUGGCACUUUGACCUCCCUAAAAGUCAAGUGGCAGAGACCUCCUGGAAAUGUGGAUUCCUACAACAUCACGCUGUCUCACCAAGGGACCAUCACAGACUCCAGAACAUUAGCACCCCAGGUUACAGAAACCCAAUUUAAAGGCUUAACCCCUGGACGACUUUAUCAAGUUACCAUCAGCUGUGUCUCUGGCGAACUGUCUGCUCAGAAGAUGGCAGUGGGCAGAACAGUUCCAGAGAAAGUUGGGCACCUGGAGGCAAACAGCAAUGGUUCCGUGAGGUCCCUCGUAGUGAGCUGGUCGCCCCCUGCUGGAGACUGGGAGCAGUACCGUAUCCUGCUCUUCAAUGAUUCCUUGGUGCUGCUCAACAUCACCGUGGGAAAGGAAGAAACACAUUAUGUCAUAGAUGACAUAGGGCUCAUACCGGGAAGACAGUAUGAGGUAGAAGUCACUGUUGAGAGUGGAAAUCUGAAGAACUCUAAGCGUUGCCAAGGCAGGACAGUCCCCAUGGCUGUUCUCCAGCUUCGUGUCAAACAUGCCAAUGAAACCUCACUGGGCAUCAUGUGGCAGACCCCUGUUGCAGAAUGGGAAAAAUACAUCAUUUCACUAGCGGACAGAAACCUCUUGCUCAUCCACAAGUCACUCCCCAAAGAAGCCAAAGAAUUCACUUUUACUGACCUGGUGCCUGGACGAAAAUACGUAGCUACUGUCACCAGUAUUAGUGGAGACUUAAAAAAUUCAUCUUCAACGAAAGGAAGAACAGUGCCUGCCCAAGUGACUGACUUGCAUGUGGCCAACCAAGGGACAACCAGCAGCCUAUUUACUAACUGGACCCAGGCAGCAGGAGACAUAGAGUUCUACCAAGUCUUACUCAUCCAUGAAAAUGUGGUCAUCAAAAAUGAAAGUGUCUCCAGUGAGACUAGCACAUACAGCUUCCACUCCCUCAAAUCAGGCAGUCUCUACUCCGUGGUGGUAACAACAGUAAGCGGAGGGAUCUCUUCCCGACAAGUGGUGGUGGAAGGAAGGACAGUCCCUUCCAGUGUGAGUGGAGUAACGGUAAACAAUUCUGGUCGCAAUGACUACCUGAGCAUAUCCUGGCUGCCAGCUCCUGGAGAUGUGGAUAACUACGUAGUGACUCUGUCUCAUGGUGGCAAGGUGGUUCAGUCCCUCAUUAUCGCCAAGUCCGUCAGCGAAUGCUCCUUCAGCUCCCUCACCCCUGGGCGCCUCUAUGAUGUGACCAUAACCACAAGGAGUGGAAAGUAUGAAAAUCAUUCCUUCAGCCAAGAUCGGACCGUGCCUGACAAGGUCCAAGGAGUCAGUAUUAGCAACUCGGCCAGGAGUGACUACUUAAAGGUAUCCUGGGUGCAUGCCACUGGAGACUUGGAUCACUAUGAAGUCACCAUUAAAAACAAAAACAACUUCAUUCAAACGAAAAGCAUCCCCAAGUCUGAAAAUGAGUGUGUAUUUGUUAAGCUAGUUCCUGGACGGUUGUACAGUGUCACUGUUAGUACAAAAAGUGGGCAAUAUGAAGCCAGCGAACAAGGGAAUGGGAGAACAAUCCCAGAGCCUGUUAAGGAUCUAACAUUGCGGAAUAGGAGCACUGACGACCUUCUCGUGACUUGGUCACGAGCUGAUGGGGAUGUCGACCAGUAUGAGAUUCAACUACUCUUCAAUGACAUGAAAUUACUUCCUUCUUUUCACCUUGGAAAUACUGCCACUGCGUAUCGCUUCACCUCCCUGAUACCCGGGCGCCGGUAUAAAAUUCUCGUGUUGACGAUCAGUGGAGAUGUACAGCAGUCAGCCUUCAUCGAGGGCUUCACAGUUCCUAGCACUGUUAAAAAUAUCCAUGUCUCUCCCAACGGGGCGACAGAUAGCCUGACAGUGAACUGGACUCCUGGUGAGGGCGAUGUUGAUUCCUACACAGUGUCCGCAUUUAGGCAGAACCAAAAGGUUGAAUCUCAGACUAUCCCCAAGCACAUCUCCGAGCACACGUUCCACAGACUGGAGGCUGGGGAGCAGUACCAGAUUGUGGUUGCCUCGGUCAGCGGGUCCCUGAGGAACCAGAUAGAUGCACUCGGCCGGACAGUCCCAGCAUCUGUCCAGGGAAUAAUUGCAGACAAUGUAUACAGCAGUCAUUCCUUAAUAGUAAGUUGGCAAAAAGCCGUUGGCAUGGCAGAAAGAUAUGAUAUCCUACUUCUAAAUGAAAAUGGGAUUCUUCUGAGUAACACAUCAAAACCAGCCACCACGAAGCAGCACAAAUUUGAAGACCUGACACCAGGAAAGAAAUACAAGAUACAGAUCCUCACUGUCAGCGGAGGCCUCUUUAGCAAGGAAGCCCAGACAGAAGGCCGAACAGUGCCAGCAGCUGUCACCAACCUGAGGAUCACAGAGAACUCCACCAGACACCUGUCCUUCACCUGGACCACCUCAGAGGGAGAGCUCAACUGGUACAACAUCUUUCUGUACAACCCAGAUCGAACUCUUCAGGACAGAGCUCAAGUUGACCCACAAGUCCAGAGCUUUUCUUUCCAGAACUUACUGCAAGGUCGAAUGUACAAAAUGGUGAUAGUAACUCACAGUGGGGAGCUGUCUAAUGAGUCCUUCAUAUUCGGAAGGACAGUCCCAGCCUCUGUGAGUAACCUCAAGGGAUCCAAUCGGAACAUGACAGACAGUCUCUGGUUUAGCUGGAGUCCAGCCCCUGGGGACUUCGACUUCUAUGAGCUGAUUCUCUAUAAUCCCAAUGGCACGAAGAAGGAAAACUGGAAAGAAAAGGACCUGACGGAGUGGCGUUUUCAUGGCCUUGUUCCUGGAAGGAAGUACACCCUGUGUGUGGUAACUCACAGUGGAGAGCUCAGCAACAAGGUCACAGGGCAGAGCAGAACAGCCCCAAGUCCUCCCAGUCUUAUGUCAUUUGCUGAUGUUGCAAACACAUCCUUGGCCAUCACGUGGAAGGGGCCACCAGACUGGACAGACUACGACGACUUUGAGGUGCAGUGGCUACCCAGAGAUGCAAUCACGGUCUUCAACCCCUACAGCAACAGAAAAUCAGAGGGACGCAUCGUGUAUGGUCUUCGUCCAGGGAGAUCCUAUCAGUUCAGUGUCAAGACUGUCAGCGGAGACUCCUGGAAAACCUACAGCAGACCAGUUUCUGGAUCUGUGAGGACAAAGCCAGACAAAAUCCAAAACCUGCAUUGCCGGCCUCAGAACUCCACGGCCAUUGCCUGCUCUUGGAUCCCUCCUGAUUCUGACUUUGACGGGUAUAGCAUUGAAUGCCGGAAAAUGGACACUCAAGAAGUUGAGUUUUCCAGAAAGCUGGAGAAGGAAAAAUCUCUGCUCAGUAUUAUGAUGCUCGUGCCCCAUAAGAGGUACCUGGUGUCCAUCAAGGUGCAGUCAGCUGGCGUGACCAGUGAGGUGGUGGAAGACAGCACCAUCACGAUGAUAGACCGCCCUCCUCCUCCACCUCCGCAUAUCCGUGUGAAUAAAAAGGACGUGCUAAUUAGCAAAUCUUCCAUCAACUUUACUUUCAACUGCAGCUGGUUCAGCGACACCAAUGGAGCUGUGAAGUACUUCACGGUGGUAGUGAGAGAAGCUGAUGGCAGUGACGAGCUGAAGCCGGAACAGCAGCACCCUCUGCCCUCCUACCUGGAGUACAGGCACAACGCCUCCAUUCGCGUGUAUCAGACCAAUUAUUUUGCCAGCAAAUGUGCCGAAAGUCCUGACAGCAACUCCAAGAGUUUUAACAUUAAGCUGGGAGCAGAGAUGGAGAGCCUGGGUGGAAAAUGUGAUCCCAAUCAGCUAAAAUUCUGUGACGGACCGCUGAAGCCGCGCACUGCCUACAGAAUCAGUAUUCGGGCUUUUACACAGCUAUUUGAUGAGGACCUAAAGGAAUUCACAAAGCCACUCUAUUCAGACACAUUUUUCUCUUUGCCUAUCACCACCGAGUCAGAGCCUUUUUUUGGAGUUAUUGAAGGCGUGAGUGCUGGUCUGUUCCUAAUUGGCAUGCUGGUGGCCGUUGUUGCCUUAUUCAUCUGCAGGCGGAGAACUAGCCAUGGUCGAGAAAGGCCCUCUGCCCAGCUGAGCAUCCGCCGGGAUCGGCCAUUGUCUGUCCACUUGAACCUGGGCCAGAAAGGUAACCGGAAAACUUCUUGCCCAAUAAAAGUAAAUCAGUUUGAAGGGCACUUCAUGAAGCUGCAGGCCGACUCCAACUACCUUCUGUCCAAGGAGUAUGAGGACUUAAAAGACGUGGGUCGAAAUCAACCAUGUGAUAUUGCACUCUUGCCGGAGAACAGAGGGAAAAAUCGAUACAACAAUAUAUUGCCCUAUGAUACCUCUCGAGUGAAGCUGUCCAAUGUCGAUGACGACCCAUGCUCCGACUACAUCAAUGCCAGCUACAUCCCUGGCAACAACUUCAGAAGAGAAUACAUCGCUACUCAGGGACCUCUUCCUGGCACGAAGGACGACUUCUGGAAAAUGGCGUGGGAACAGAAUGUUCACAACAUUGUCAUGGUGACCCAGUGUGUGGAGAAGGGCCGAGUGAAGUGUGACCAUUACUGGCCAGCGGACCAGGACUCCCUCUACUACGGGGACCUCAUCCUGCAGAUGCUCUCAGAGUCGGUGCUGCCCGAGUGGACCAUCCGGGAGUUUAGGAUAUGCAGUGAGGAGCAGCUCGACACACACAGGCUCAUCCGCCACUUCCACUAUACGGUGUGGCCGGACCACGGAGUCCCGGAGACCACCCAGUCCCUGAUCCAGUUUGUGAGGACUGUCAGGGACUACAUCAACAGGACGCCCGGGGCCGGGCCCACCGUGGUGCACUGCAGUGCCGGUGUGGGCAGAACUGGAACCUUCAUCGCGUUGGACCGAAUCCUCCAGCAGUUAGACUCCAAAGACUCUGUGGACAUCUAUGGAGCAGUGCAUGACCUACGGCUUCACAGGGUUCACAUGGUGCAGACCGAGUGUCAGUAUGUCUACCUACAUCAGUGUGUAAGAGAUGUCCUCAGAGCAAGGAAGCUACGGAGCGAACAGGAAAACCCCUUGUUUCCAAUCUACGAAAAUGUGAAUCCAGAGUAUCACAGAGAAGCAGAGCAAGCAACUGUGACGUGCCCUGCUACCGACUCUGAUUACAGUGUCCUUCCUUUCAGAUGCGGGCUAUCCUAGGCACUGAGGAUGCACCCGAAGCUAUCCUGGAGAAAAGCUAUUCACUGUGUGAUUUUUUUUUAACUCGCUUCAUGCCCUACAGAGAAAUUAGUGAACGGCUUAGAGAUAUUCAACAUACACUUUUUGAGUGGAAAUUGCUCCUGGCCCAAGACUUUGGAUGUGAAGUAGUCAGUGCCUAAUAACACUAUUGUCCAUGGAGGUUCAUCUGACUGUUCCUCGACUUGUGUGAAGCUUCAGCAAAUAAUGUAAAUAAAUCCAGCAACUGAGCUUAUGUUCUAUAAUAGAGCACUUUUAUAUUUUUAAUAUCCUGUAUUCUUUCUCUGCAAAUCUGGUUAUUUAAAAUGGCAAUAGAUGGAUUCUAUUUUUUCAUA